GCAGCUGUCACACACAACAGAGGUGGGUGUUGUCAGCAGCAAACUGAACUUGGCCAAUGCUCCUCUGCCCCCCCCCCCCAGUUUAAUCAUUGAGCCCUUGCUUUGUGUACAGAAGGCCUUAGGUUCAAAAGGAUCACCGGCUGCAGGGCUAAGAUCUGGGCUAAACAGAGCAAGAGUCUGACUUCCGGAUAAGGCAGGUCAAUAGGUGACUAAGCCGCUGCAAGUGAAAUGCAACACACCACCAUUAUGCAUGCUUGUUUGGGUUAUUCAUUUUUUUAAAAAAAGGCGAUUAUAAUUAUUUUUACUCCCCAGUAUUGCAGUUGGUGAGACAGAGGCUCUGUGAAUUCAGGGUGGACGUGAGAGCCAAAACAGGGGAGGAUAAGCCUAUCAGCUCAGAUCCUGCUUGGGGGCUUCCCUUUGGUUGGCCACUGUGAGAAUAGGACUAUUCCGGCAGUCAAGUGGCCUUAUGUUCUCCUUAUCCUCUCUUAUGGACUUGCUGAUUCAUAGCUUAGUCUCUUUACCACAACACAACACCAGGUCUGGAGACGGCACUCUGCAGAUUACCAGAGGCACUCUGUUCUCAGAUCCAAUGCUUCAGUAAUAGCAGACGGCUCCCUUCACCAUAAGGAACCCUGAGAUCUUUUGCGCAAAGUGAAAACUGGAUCUGUGAACAUGCUAACCCUUCGAGGCAAAAGGCCCUCUGCUCAUGCCCAGAGACACUCAGCUCAAGGUGUUCAGCAUUUUGGGAAAGCAAGGCAACAUUUCCCGGAACAAACCUCACAUACAGCCAGCUUCUACUGGGCACUGCUGGCAGCGAUCUACACCUUACAAGCAGACGAUGAUGUGCUGAUGUACAUUGCCAUGACAUCUUUCGGUAAGGCAAGUUUGGGACUAGAGGGAUGGGGACCCGCCACAUAUUCUGGGGCUCCCUUCAAGCCCACUAAUGUGAACUUUCUGGGAAAGAUUGAAUUGGAAUCUUUUGUGCAAAUUAGGGCAAUUUCCAUAGAGCAGGGUUUUUUAAAUUAUUAUUUUGCCAUCGUAACGUUUUCUGAGGUUCUAAAAAGUGAUCUAAUUUAGCAGGCUUAUUUUACUUUUAUAUAGUAAACAAAGCAAAAAACACUAAAAUCACCCACAGGUGCUUAAUACUUACUGGCACCUGUUGAUUUCUACUAAUAAGCUCAGGAAACAGAUUUCCAUAGAAAAAUGCACACUGGAAAAGAUGCCCCAGCUCUAGCCACUGCUUCAGCUCUAGCCAAUGAACCCGGACAAAAGGAAUCCACUCACAGGGUCCCCAUCUCCAAGUCAGAAGACGCCCCCCUCCAAAAGAACCCAACCCUGAGGAGGAGGAGGAGGAGGAGGAGGAGGAGGAGUGUGGCUAGAGCACAGUGAUGGGCCUUCAACUGGGAUUAUCAGUGGUGGAAAGAGGUGGGCCUAGUUAGGAAUGCCACAUUCGCUGCAAAGGAGAAGGUGCCGCCUCAUGUCGCAGCAGAAGCCAACUCUGGCCCUAGGAUAGGAUAGGAAGGUUUUCCCUGAUGCUUCCCAGA